rnacentral:rRNA from 1 species
ACACAUGCAAGUCGAACGAGCGAGAGAGAGCUUGCUUUCUCAAGCGAGUGGCGAACGGGUGAGUAACGCGUGAGGAACCUGCCUCAAAGAGGGGGACAACAGUUGGAAACGACUGCUAAUACCGCAUAAGCCCACAGGUCGGCAUCGACCAGAGGGAAAAGGAGCAAUCCGCUUUGAGAUGGCCUCGCGUCCGAUUAGCUAGUUGGUGAGGUAAUGGCCCACCAAGGCAACGAUCGGUAGCCGGACUGAGAGGUUGAACGGCCACAUUGGGACUGAGACACGGCCCAGACUCCUACGGGAGGCAGCAGUGGGGAAUAUUGCACAAUGGGGGAAACCCUGAUGCAGCGACGCCGCGUGGAGGAAGAAGGUCUUCGGAUUGUAAACUCCUGUUGUUGAGGAAGAUAAUGACGGUACUCAACAAGGAAGUGACGGCUAACUACGUGCCAGCAGCCGCGGUAAAACGUAGGUCACAAGCGUUGUCCGGAAUUACUGGGUGUAAAGGGAGCGCAGGCGGGAAGACAAGUUGGAAGUGAAAUCUAUGGGCUCAACCCAUAAACUGCUUUCAAAACUGUUUUUCUUGAGUAGUGCAGAGGUAGGCGGAAUUCCCGGUGUAGCGGUGGAAUGCGUAGAUAUCGGGAGGAACACCAGUGGCGAAGGCGGCCUACUGGGCACCAACUGACGCUGAGGCUCGAAAGUGUGGGUAGCAAACAGGAUUAGAUACCCUGGUAGUCCACACCGUAAACGAUGAUUACUAGGUGUUGGAGGAUUGACCCCUUCAGUGCCGCAGUUAACACAAUAAGUAAUCCACCUGGGGAGUACGACC